GAUCAUGGCUCAGGAUGAACGCUAGCCACAGGCUUAACACAUGCAAGUCGAGGGGCAGCAUGGUCUUAGCUUGCUAAGGCCGAUGGCGACCGGCGCACGGGUGAGUAACACGUAUCCAACCUGCCGUCUACUCUUGGACAGCCUUCUGAAAGGAAGAUUAAUACAAGAUGGCAUCAUGAGUCCACAUGUUCACAUGAUUAAAGGUACUCCGGUAGACGAUGGGGA
rnacentral:rRNA from 1 species